UACGUAGGGUGCGAGCGUUAUUCGGAAUUACUGGGCGUAAAGCGUGCGCAGGCGGUUUGGUAAGACAGAUGUGAAAUCCCCGGGCUUAACCUGGGAAUUGCAUUUGUGACUGCCCGGCUAGAGUUUGGCAGAGGGGGGUAGAAUUCCACGUGUAGCAGUGAAAUGCGUAGAUAUGUGGAGGAAUACCGAUGGCGAAGGCAGCCCCCUGGGUCAAGACUGACGCUCAUGCACGAAAGCGUGGGGAGCAAACAGG
rnacentral:rRNA from 1 species